UGGAGUUGAGACAUGGACUCUGCCAUGUAGGUGCUAGGUAGUAGUCUGUACGUUUCCUACUCCCU
rnacentral:miRNA from 1 species